UCUCUAGUCGAUCUAUUAAAUCAUAUAAACUACAACCUUGCUAUCACCACCCACCACCAUCCUCACUACUACAACAAAUCCACCACUAUCACCUCCAUUACAACAAAAUUUACACCCACCACCAAAACAACAUUUUACUUUGUUCAGCAGUACCGAAAUCCUUGCUCACUAUACCUAGCUUGUGAUCAACUGAAAAACUAUAUAAUCAUUUAUAUAGUUUGUUAUACCCAAAACAUGCAGUUGCAAAUUCACAGUUCAAACCCACAUAUACAAAUUGGAUAGCAGAACAAAGAAAACUACCUCCUCCUUCAAACUCACAUAUACAAAAUACAUACCUCCUCACUCACAGACGCUGCCGCCACCGCCGCCACCAUCUAAUUGAUUGAAUUCAAAUUUAAGAUCGACCACCAAUUGAUUAAAGAGAUCUGUUUUCUUCUUCAAAUCAAAUAUCUACUAAAUUUAACUCGAACAAGACAACAACUCUAUUAAAGCAGUUCUGAAACUCUAUCUUCAAUUCAUCGUCAUCAUCUUCACCAUCGAAUUUCUGAGUAGAUCUACAAAUCAUAAAGUAAAAUCCUUGAAGGAGAUUGUGAUGGUUCAAUACAAGAAGUUGAGGUUGUGGUGGUGGUGGUGGUGGUGAGUUUGGGGGAAGGUCGGAAUAGAUUGUUGUUGAUGGUGGCGAUGUCGAUGGAGAUAACAGUGGUCAUGGCUAUAAUCACCAAAGGAGGAGUGGGAGAAAUUUUAGAUCCAGAAAAACAACAACAAAGGAAACAGAUUGGUUUAAUCAACGAUGAUGAGAGGAUAAAUGAGACAUUGAAGAAUUACAUGAUAUCUGUUUUAGAAAGCAGGGAUAUAAAUAUUUUAUUUUUUUUGGUAAGGAUAGUUGUGGAGAUCGAUAGAUAGUGGGGACAAUAAUUCAAUUUUCACAUUAUUUUAUGGGUGGAACGUGUAAAACAUGGGAGAUUUUAUAUUUUGAAGCCAAAACUUGUACAAGCAACGAACUUUUUCCAUCAAAAGAAAAAUAAAAAUCAAGAAAAGUUCAGCUAGUCAAAUUGAUAUCAUCUCCACCCGCAAAUCCAACUAGAAACUCUUCCUCCAAUGUCUCUUAAACUACCGGCUUCCAUUACCACUUCCUCGGUUUUCCACCAAAACUAUGUUUCAAAUCAAACUCAGAUCAACAAAGUCAACCCGUUCCCUUCAACAACCAAAGGAAAUCACAUAAUCUUAGUGCAUAAUCCAUCCAAUCAAUACAGCAAAGACGGAAGAAGAAGAAUAUGAUCACUGUAAUAACAUUAAGAAGAGAAAUCUCCUCCUUGGUUUGAGUACUCUAUUCAGCACAGCUACAGUAUUCACCAAUCAAAACUUAAUUUCCAUUGCAGCUCUUCAACAUAAAACGAGUUCGGCAUUAAAACCUUUAGUCCUUGAGAAGAAAACAAUACAGGUAUUAGUUCAAAGACCCAAAAAAUUGAGAUCCAAAUCCAAGAAAGGGAAUUCUACAACUGAAGUCUUGGUUGUGGAUGGAAUUGAAAUUCAUCAUGAUGGACCUGUCAAGUUUGAUGUUUAUGUAGCCAAAGCUCAUAAUGGUGUUAUAAGUUCUGGUCUGGGCGAAUUUGCUGGGAGUUUAGUGAAUAUGCCAUUUCUCGGAUUGCAAAAGAUGGAAUUCAGGUGCAGGGUAAAGGAAGUUUGGAAUUGGGUAUUGGUGGAUUAGUUAGAGAUAUUGAUGCUCAAGAUUGUGAUGAAAUUGCUGUUAGUUUAGUUCCUAAACUUGGAGAAAUAAAGAUUGAUAGCAUUCGUAUUGAGGGCUGUAGUAAUUCUGCAAGGGACGUGGACCAUAUCGGAGCUCUUCAAUCCUUGAAACCACAUCGCACAGCCACCUUUGCGUCACUGUUGAACACAGCUGAGAUGCAUCUUCUAAGCUAACAGUAGCUUAUAUCAAUGUAACUUAAGAUUUCUCUUCAGAGUUUCUUGUUGAAAUAAACAAAUUGAUAAACCAAAGUUUCUUCA